GCCGGACCUGACUGCUAUCGGAUUGAUACUAAGCCAUGCGAGUCGUUGUAACAAUACAAGGCAUACGGCUCAGUAACGCGUAGUCAACCUAACCUAUGGACGGGAAUAACCUCGGGAAACUGAGAAUAAUGCCCGAUAGAACAUUAUGCCUGGAAUGGUUUAUGUUCCAAAUGAUUUAUCGCCAUAGGAUGGGACUGCGGCCUAUCAGUUUGUUGGUGAGGUAAUGGCCCACCAAGACUAUUACAGGUACGGGCUCUGAGAGGAGUAGCCCGGAGAUGGGUACUGAGACACGGACCCAGGCCCUAUGGGGCGCAGCAGGCGAGAAAACUUUGCAAUGUGCGAAAGCACGACAAGGUUAAUCCGAGUGAUUUCUGCUAAAGAGAUCUUUUGUUAGUCCUAGAAACACUAACGAAUAAGGGGUGGGCAAGUUCUGGUGUCAGCCGCCGCGGUAAAACCAGCACCUCAAGUGGUCAGGAUGAUUAUUGGGCCUAAAGCAUCCGUAGCCGGCUCUGUAAGUUUUCGGUUAAAUCUGUACGCUCAACGUACAGGCUGCCGGAAAUACUGCAGAACUAGGGAGUGGGAGAGGUAGACGGUACUCGGUAGGAAGUGGUAAAAUGCUUUGAUCUAUCGAUGACCACCUGUGGCGAAGGCGGUCUACCAGAACACGUCCGACGGUGAGGGAUGAAAGCUGGGGGAGCAAACCGGAUUAGAUACCCGGGUAGUCCCAGCUGUAAACUAUGCAAACUCAGUGAUGCAUUGGCUUGUGGCCAAUGCAGUGCUGCAGGGAAGCCGUUAAGUUUGCCGCCUGGGAAGUACGUACGCAAGUAUGAAACUUAAAGGAAUUGGCGGGGGAGCACCACAAGGGGUGAAGCCUGCGGUUCAAUUGGAGUCAACGCCGGGGA
rnacentral:rRNA from 1 species